GGUUAAGCGACUAAGCGUACACGGUGGAUGCCCUGGCAGUCAGAGGCGAUGAAGGACGUGCUAAUCUGCGAUAAGCGUCGGUAAGGUGAUAUGAACCGUUAUAACCGGCGAUUUCCGAAUGGGGAAACCCAGUGUGAUUCGUCACACUAUCAUUAACUGAAUCCAUAGGUUAAUGAGGCGAACCGGGGGAACUGAAACAUCUAAGUACCCCGAGGAAAAGAAAUCAACCGAGAUUCCCCCAGUAGCGGCGAGCGAACGGGGAGCAGCCCAGAGCCUGAAUCAGUGUGUGUGUUAGUGGAAGCGUCUGGAAAGGCGUGCGAUACAGGGUGACAGCCCCGUACACAAAAAUGCACAUAUUGUGAGCUCGAUGAGUAGGGCGGGACACGUGGUAUCCUGUCUGAAUAUGGGGGGACCAUCCUCCAAGGCUAAAUACUCCUGACUGACCGAUAGUGAACCAGUACCGUGAGGGAAAGGCGAAAAGAACCCCGGCGAGGGGAGUGAAAAAGAACCUGAAACCGUGUACGUACAAGCAGUGGGAGCACGCUUAGGCGUGUGACUGCGUACCUUUUGUAUAAUGGGUCAGCGACUUAUAUUCUGUAGCAAGGUUAACCGAAUAGGGGAGCCGAAGGGAAACCGAGUCUUAACUGGGCGUUAAGUUGCAGGGUAUAGACCCGAAACCCGGUGAUCUAGCCAUGGGCAGGUUGAAGGUUGGGUAACACUAACUGGAGGACCGAACCGACUAAUGUUGAAAAAUUAGCGGAUGACUUGUGGCUGGGGGUGAAAGGCCAAUCAAACCGGGAGAUAGCUGGUUCUCCCCGAAAGCUAUUUAGGUAGCGCCUCGUGAAUUCAUCUCCGGGGGUAGAGCACUGUUUCGGCAAGGGGGUCAUCCCGACUUACCAACCCGAUGCAAACUGCGAAUACCGGAGAAUGUUAUCACGGGAGACACACGGCGGGUGCUAACGUCCGUCGUGAAGAGGGAAACAACCCAGACCGCCAGCUAAGGUCCCAAAGUCAUGGUUAAGUGGGAAACGAUGUGGGAAGGCCCAGACAGCCAGGAUGUUGGCUUAGAAGCAGCCAUCAUUUAAAGAAAGCGUAAUAGCUCACUGGUCGAGUCGGCCUGCGCGGAAGAUGUAACGGGGCUAAACCAUGCACCGAAGCUGCGGCAGCGACACUAUGUGUUGUUGGGUAGGGGAGCGUUCUGUAAGCCUGUGAAGGUGUACUGUGAGGUAUGCUGGAGGUAUCAGAAGUGCGAAUGCUGACAUAAGUAACGAUAAAGCGGGUGAAAAGCCCGCUCGCCGGAAGACCAAGGGUUCCUGUCCAACGUUAAUCGGGGCAGGGUGAGUCGACCCCUAAGGCGAGGCCGAAAGGCGUAGUCGAUGGGAAACAGGUUAAUAUUCCUGUACUUGGUGUUACUGCGAAGGGGGGACGGAGAAGGCUAUGUUGGCCGGGCGACGGUUGUCCCGGUUUAAGCGUGUAGGCUGGUUUUCCAGGCAAAUCCGGAAAAUCAAGGCUGAGGCGUGAUGACGAGGCACUACGGUGCUGAAGCAACAAAUGCCCUGCUUCCAGGAAAAGCCUCUAAGCAUCAGGUAACAUCAAAUCGUACCCCAAACCGACACAGGUGGUCAGGUAGAGAAUACCAAGGCGCUUGAGAGAACUCGGGUGAAGGAACUAGGCAAAAUGGUGCCGUAACUUCGGGAGAAGGCACGCUGAUAUGUAGGUGAAGUCCCUCGCGGAUGGAGCUGAAAUCAGUCGAAGAUACCAGCUGGCUGCAACUGUUUAUUAAAAACACAGCACUGUGCAAACACGAAAGUGGACGUAUACGGUGUGACGCCUGCCCGGUGCCGGAAGGUUAAUUGAUGGGGUUAGCGCAAGCGAAGCUCUUGAUCGAAGCCCCGGUAAACGGCGGCCGUAACUAUAACGGUCCUAAGGUAGCGAAAUUCCUUGUCGGGUAAGUUCCGACCUGCACGAAUGGCGUAAUGAUGGCCAGGCUGUCUCCACCCGAGACUCAGUGAAAUUGAACUCGCUGUGAAGAUGCAGUGUACCCGCGGCAAGACGGAAAGACCCCGUGAACCUUUACUAUAGCUUGACACUGAACAUUGAGCCUUGAUGUGUAGGAUAGGUGGGAGGCUUUGAAGUGUGGACGCCAGUCUGCAUGGAGCCGACCUUGAAAUACCACCCUUUAAUGUUUGAUGUUCUAACGUUGACCCGUAAUCCGGGUUGCGGACAGUGUCUGGUGGGUAGUUUGACUGGGGCGGUCUCCUCCUAAAGAGUAACGGAGGAGCACGAAGGUUGGCUAAUCCUGGUCGGACAUCAGGAGGUUAGUGCAAUGGCAUAAGCCAGCUUGACUGCGAGCGUGACGGCGCGAGCAGGUGCGAAAGCAGGUCAUAGUGAUCCGGUGGUUCUGAAUGGAAGGGCCAUCGCUCAACGGAUAAAAGGUACUCCGGGGAUAACAGGCUGAUACCGCCCAAGAGUUCAUAUCGACGGCGGUGUUUGGCACCUCGAUGUCGGCUCAUCACAUCCUGGGGCUGAAGUAGGUCCCAAGGGUAUGGCUGUUCGCCAUUUAAAGUGGUACGCGAGCUGGGUUUAGAACGUCGUGAGACAGUUCGGUCCCUAUCUGCCGUGGGCGCUGGAGAACUGAGGGGGGCUGCUCCUAGUACGAGAGGACCGGAGUGGACGCAUCACUGGUGUUCGGGUUGUCAUGCCAAUGGCACUGCCCGGUAGCUAAAUGCGGAAGAGAUAAGUGCUGAAAGCAUCUAAGCACGAAACUUGCCCCGAGAUGAGUUCUCCCUGACUCCUUGAGAGUCCUGAAGGAACGUUGAAGACGACGACGUUGAUAGGCCGGGUGUGUAAGCGCAGCGAUGCGUUGAGCUAACCGGUACUAAUGAACCGUGAGGCUUAACCUU
rnacentral:rRNA from 1 species